rnacentral:rRNA from 1 species
CCCUUAGAUGUUCUGGGCCGCACGCGCGCUACACUGACGAAUGCAACGAGCUUAUAACCUUGGCCGAAAGGUCUGGGUAAUCUCCAAAUUUCGUCGUGAUGGGGAUAGAUUAUUGCAAUUAUUAAUCUUCAACGAGGAAUGCCUAGUAAGCGCAAGUCAUCAGCUUGCGUUGAUUACGUCCCUGCCCUUUGUACACACCGCCCGUCGCUCCUACCGAUUGAAUGGUCCGGUGAAGCGUUCGGACCGUGGCCUUUGGACGGUUCGCCGUCUGUUGGCUGCGGGAAGUUCGUUAAACCUUAUCAUUUAGAGGAAGGAGAAGACGUAACA